GGUUAUGGUGCAAGUUAUAUCAAGGGUGCUCAUGUUGACUUGAAUCUGGUGCCGAGGGAUGAGAAUGAAGAGGAUGAUGUUGAGAACAUCAAGUUACCCACUGUGGUGGAGGAGAUCAACGAUUGACAUUCAUCAUGUGGAUGUUGAUCUUGCUAUUUUGGAGAUGAAUGUCAAAGUGAUCUUUCUCAUGUGAAGGCUACUUUUGCAUUUUUGUUAUGUUUGUCAUGAACUAUGAAUUGUCACUGCUAGCUUGGAGAUGAACCUCUCAUUUGUGUUAUGUUCAACUUGUCAAUUGCCAUGGACUUGGAAUUGUUAUUGCAAGUUUGUAAUCGUGUCGUUCAAUGAUGAUAAGACCUUAUGUUUGUGGAUGUGAUAUUUGUGCUUAACCUGAUUUGUGCCAUCUUUCGUGUCAAAAUCAGUUUGUGGA